rnacentral:rRNA from 1 species
GAACGGGUGAGUAACGCGUGAGCAACCUGCCUUAAACAACGGGAUAGCCUCGGGAAACCGGGAUUAAUACCGUAUGAGACCCCGCCUUCCCAUGAAGAAGAGGUUAAAGAUUUAUCGGUUUAAGAUGGGCUCGCGUCUGAUUAGCUAGUUGGUGAGAUAAAAGCCCACCAAGGCAACGAUCAGUAACCGGCUUGAGAGAGUGAACGGUCACAUUGGAACUGAGACACGGUCCAAACUCCUACGGGAGGCAGCAGUGGGGAAUAUUGCACAAUGGGGGAAACCCUGAUGCAGCGACGCCGCGUGAGCGAUGAAGGAAUUCGUUUCGUAAAGCUCUGUCCUAGGGGAAGAUAAUGACAGUACCCUUGGAGGAAGCCCCGGCUAAAUACGUGCCAGCAGCCGCGGUAAUACGUAUGGGGCGAGCGUUGUCCGGAAUUAUUGGGCGUAAAG